rnacentral:rRNA from 1 species
CGUGUAGGCGGUUAGGUAAGUGGGAUGUGAAAUGCCUCGGCUUACCCGAGGACCGGCAUCCCAAACUGCCUGGCUUGAGUAUGGGAGAGGAUGAGGGAAUUCCUGGUGUAGCGGUGAAAUGCGUAGAUAUCGGAAGGAACUCCGGUGGCGAAAGCGACGUGCUGGACCUCUUCUGACGCUGAGGCGCGAAAGCUAGGGGAGCGAACA